rnacentral:rRNA from 1 species
GCACAGGGUUUGCCGAUACUUUCUCCUGAGGUACCGUCAAAAAUUUCGUCCCUCAGAACAGGUGUUUACGACCAGUAAAGGCCUUCAUCCACCACGCGGCGUCGCUCCGUCAGACUUUCGUCCAUUGCGGAAGAUUCCUCACUGCUGCCUCCCGUAGGAGUAUGGACCGUGUCGCAGUUCCAUUCUGGCUGAUCAUCCUCUCAGAUCAGCUACCCGUCAUUGCCUUGGUGAGCCGUUACCUCACCAACGAGCUGAUAGGCCGCAGGCCCCUCCCGAACCGAUAAAUCUUUCCUCUUCCGAGGGCAUCCGGUAUUACUCCUCCUUUCGGAGGGAUAUCCCUGAGUUCGGGGCAGGUUCCAACGUGUUACGCAGCCGUUUGCCGUGGGUCUAAACCCACUCGACUUGCAUGUGUUAGGCGCGCCGCUAGCGUUCACU